UAGGGAAUUUUGCGCAAUGGGGGAAACCCUGACGCAGCGACGCCGCGUGAAUGAUGAAGGCCUUCGGGUUGUAAAGUUCUGUCAUUAGGGACGAAUGUUGACUGGUCUAAUAGGCCGGACAAUUGACGGUACCUAAGGAGGAAGCACCGGCUAACUCUGUGCCAGCAGCCGCGGUAAUACAGAGGGUGCAAGCGUUAUUCGGAAUUACUGGGCGUAAAGCGCAUGUAGGUGGGUAGAUAAGUCAGUUGUGAAAUCCCGGAGCUCAACUUCGGAGCAGCAAUUGAAACUGUUUAUCUGGAGUUCGGAAGAGGGUAGUGGACUUCUUGGUGUAGAGGUGAAAUUCGUAGAUAUCAAGAGGAACACCUGAGGCGAAGGCGGCUACCUGGUCCGAGACUGACACUGAGAUGCGAGAGCGUGGGGAGCAAACAGG
rnacentral:rRNA from 1 species